ACAGUAGAACCUAGAAGGCCCAGAUGAGAUCAGAGCCCCACUAUGCAAGGCUGCCUACAAACACAUGCACCUUUCAUCAGACUCUCAAAGCACUUUGCAAACAUGGAUCAAGCUUUGCAACAGUCAAGCUUCAGAUUGGCAAUAAGGCAUAAGCUGUUAACACUAAGGGAAUAACUAAAUGGAACAUUUAAAAAGAGUAGAGAGUGAAAAGAUUCCACCAUCUCAUGCAGGCUGUGUUGGAAAUUGUAAAUUCUGAGAUUUGGAUUUCAUCCUGCACCAUGACAGCACAGCUGAAUGCCUGCGAUGACACACAACUGUGAUUCAUGCAGCAGACCUGCAAAGCCAAUAACCAGGAUGGACAGGCUUGCAAAAUGAUGUGAAAGCUGCUAGUGGGUGGAAGGAAUGAAAACCAGAAUAAGCGAGUGUAAUAUUUCUCAAAACCAGACUGCGGACACUGCAGGAAAUUGAAGGAACACAGCCAAGAUGAAAGGACCUUCAGCUUCCGAGAGGGAAACCAUUCCACCAGGAAGGCAGGAGCAACUCUCCAGAGACAGUCAGAGAAGGACCCUGAAGGACCAUUGGCUUGGAGAAGAGGAAUCAGGAGCAGUUUAAGUUCCUCAGGGCAUGGAAGGGUCAUGAUCUUCAACAGGAAGGGACACUGAUGAACUGGUUAAUGGAGCAGGUGACACACCAUAAGAAAUGGGAGAAUUCCCUGAUCAAGAGGCUCAUUGAACUGGUGGCCAAAAGAGUGAGGCAUCUGCCUGUUGUCAAGGGCUCAGAACCAGCCGAUCAGCGGC